rnacentral:rRNA from 1 species
GGGGAAUAUUGCGCAAUGGGGGAAACCCUGACGCAGCAACGCCGCGUGAAGGAUGAAGGUUUUCGGAUUGUAAACUUCUUUGACGAGGGACGAAAAAUGACGGUACCUCGAAAACAAGCCACGGCUAACUACGUGCCAGCAGCCGCGGUAAUACGUAGGUGGCAAGCGUUAUCCGGAAUUACUGGGUGUAAAGGGCGAGUAGGCGGGACUGCAAGUCAGUAGUGAAAUGCGGAGGCUCAACCUCCGAGCUGCUAUUGAAACUGCGGUUCUUGAGUGAUGGAGAGGCAGGCGGAAUUCCCGGUGUAGCGGUGAAAUGCGUAGAGAUCGGGAGGAACACCAGUGGCGAAGGCGGCCUGCUGGACAUUAACUGACGCUGAGGCGCGAAAGCGUGGGGAGCAAAC